CAGCAGCCGCGGGAAUACGUAGGUGGCAAGCGUUGUCCGGAAUUAUUGGGCGUAAAGGGCUCGCAGGCGGUUUCUUAAGUCUGAUGUGAAAGCCCCCGGCUCAACCGGGGAGGGUCAUUGGAAGCUGGGAAACUUGAGUGCAGAAGAGGAGAGUGGAAUUCCACGUGUAGCGGUGAAAUGCGUAGAGAUGUGGAGGAACACCAGUGGCGAAGGCGACUCUCUGGUCUGUAACUGACGCUGAGGAGCGAAAGCGUGGGGAGCGAACAGGAUUAGAUACCCCCGUAGUCCCUGUCUCUUAUAC
rnacentral:rRNA from 1 species